rnacentral:rRNA from 1 species
AAAUUGAAGAGUUUGAUCAUGGCUCAGAUUGAACGCUGGCGGCAGGCCUAACACAUGCAAGUCGAACGGUAACAGGAAGAAGCUUGCUUCUUUGCUGACGAGUGGCGGACGGGUGAGUAAUGUCUGGGAAACUGCCUGAUGGAGGGGGAUAACUACUGGAAACGGUAGCUAAUACCGCAUAACG